GCCUCUGUUGAACUUCACCUGUCCUUUAGUAAUUCAUAUGUUCUCCUUCCCGACUGACAAGAUUAAAACAAUGAUAUGUUGGUGGUUAUAGUCUAAUAAAGUGUGUGGUGUAACGUUAGUGUUUUGGGCUCGUCCAUUACCUGUUUUGACCCCACGCAGCACACCUGAAGCACCGUCGUCACAGCCAAACAGAGCCUCCAUCUUUGAUGAAGCUAACACAACCUGACUGUGGACAUAACGCGACCAGCCUGUCCACUGACCCCACAGAGACGAAACUGAUGUCCGCCCUCCCGUUUCUGCCACAGAAUGACACACACUAUCCUCCAUGAAGCUGAAGGAAUAAGGGGUUUCCUGACACUGCAAAAAUGAUGAAAAAGCAACGGCUGCCCUGCUGUUCCAAAACAUCGAGCUUCGGUAGGUUCAGAGAAGUUACAUUCAAUAGACCCUAAAAAAACAAAACGAAAAAAAUACUUAAUGUAAAAUACAGAUAAGGACAUUUAUGUCCAGCAUUUCAUUUCAGUUGGGAAAAUUAAAUAAUACAAGACGUUUGACGUUUCAACGUUUGAUGAUAUCAUGUCGA